rnacentral:rRNA from 1 species
UACGGAGGGUGCAAGCGUUGUUCGGAAUUACUGGGCGUAAAGCGCGUGUAGGCGGCCUUGUAAGUCAGAUGUGAAAGCCCUCGGCUUAACCGGGGAAGUGCAUCUGAAACUGCUUGGCUUGAGUACCGGAGAGGGAGACGGAAUUCCCAGUGUAGAGGUGAAAUUCGUAGAUAUUGGGAGGAACACCGGUGGCGAAAGCGGUCUCCUGGACGGAUACUGACGCUGAGACGCGAAAGCGUGGGUAGCAAACAGG